GUUCCUGUAGUUAAAUUUAGUUAACGAUGGCUUUUCAGGCCGUAGAUCUUAGAGAGAAGCUAAGUAGGAACU
rnacentral:tRNA from 1 species